GCCAAACUCAUUUUCAUUUACAGUAAAAAGUAAAACUCUCUAGAUCGAUAAAUUGAAAUCGUAAAGUAUAAUACAUCUUUGUUUAUUGCUGUUUGAAAUUUCGUUUGUUACGAAAGGACAUCAUCCGCCAUCUUGUCGCGUCAUGUCACGAGAUAAACUCCAUCAUAUUUCUUUCGUUUUUCAACUAAGCAAGUCACAGGGAAGAAGAAAAUAAAUACUGAAAAGGUAGAAGUUAAUCACAUAGCAGAUGGAUAUCACGAAUCAUGGGCGGAUCAUUGUCUGUAGGGCUACAAAUCUUAAUUGUACUCCUUAAAUUCUUCAUACCACAUUACAGUGAGGCCAGCAUGCCGUUUAUCUGCCUUUUUCUCCAAGAAAAACAACUCCCGCUGUCUGAAGACCUGAUUUUCAUGCAACAAGGGACACCACAAGCAUAAACUUCGCUUUGAUCUUUAAAAGAUAAUAAUUCAAACAUGUUAAGCCUUCAUGUUUUACGAAGUUCGAAAAUGACGUGUUGAAUCGAAAAAGAAUGAAAUAGAUAAAUCAAGAAAGAAAAAUUGAUUUAAUGGCCGUAGCAUGUAUAUAUAUAUAUUUUCUAAGCCAAUAAUUUCCAAAAUGAAUUAUAUGGAAUGCACUGCAAUAAGUAUAUUAAAGAUAUAAUAAUUCAAAACUUCUUAAUGUUUAUUACUGAAAAAAAUAUA